CGGCUGGUGAGGCAGGAGACGCAGCUUGA
rnacentral:piRNA from 1 species